rnacentral:rRNA from 1 species
GACGAACGCUGGCGGCGUGCCUAAUACAUGCAAGUCGAACGCAGUGGGGACGGGUGAGUAACACGUGGGUAACCUCCCAUCAGAGGGGAUAACAGUUGGAAACAGGUGCUAACCCGCUACUGAUUGAUGGACCCGCGGUACAUUAGCUAGUUGGUGGGGUAACGGCUCACCAAGGCCACGAUGCAUAGCCGGCCUGAGAGGGUGACCGGCCACACUGGGACUGAGACACGGUCCAGACUCCUACGGGAGGCAGCAGUAGGGAAUCUUCGGCAAUGGACGAAAGUCUGACGGAGCAACGCCGCGUGAAUGAAGAAGGUUUUCGGAUCGUAAAGCUCUGUUGUUAGAGAAGCGGUAUCUAACCAGAAAGCAACGGCUAACUACGUGCCAGCCGCCGCGGUAAUAC